UUAUGGCUCAGGAUGAACGCUAGCGACAGGCUAACACAUGCAAGUCGAGGGGCAUCACGGGAGUAGCAAUACAACUGGUGGCGACCGGCGCACGGGUGAGUAACGCGUAUGCAACCUACCUAUCAGAGGGGAAUAACCCGGCGAAAGUCGGACUAAUACCGCAUAAAACAGGGGCACCGCAUGGUGAUAUUUGUUAAAGAAAUUCGCUGAUAGAUGGGCAUGCGUUCCAUUAGGUAGUUGGUGAGGUAACGGCUCACCAAGCCGACGAUGGAUAGGGAACUGAGAGGUUGGUCCCCCACACUGGUACUGAGACACGGACCAGACUCCUACGGGAGGCAGCAGUGAGGAAUAUUGGUCAAUGGGCGGGAGCCUGAACCAGCCAAGUCGCGUGAAGGAAGAAGGAUCUAUGGUUCGUAAACUUCUUUUGCAGGGGAAUAAAGUGCAGGACGUGUCCUGUUUUGUAUGUACCCUGAGAAUAAGGAUCGGCUAACUCCGUGCCAGCCGCCGC
rnacentral:rRNA from 1 species